rnacentral:lncRNA from 1 species
UGUCUCAAAGACCUGGCAGCCAGUGAACUGUUAAAUGUUAGGAAAAUUUCAGUGGGUGCUGGUUGGCUUUUCAUUCUCGGCAGAGGUCGGUUCUAGGUAGCCUUAUUUCACUUGUCCCAACAGGAAUUUGCCCUUGGCCAUUGGGAUUUCUAUGCCAAUUGUGACACUCAUCUACAUCCUGACAAACGUGGCCUAUUACACAGUGCUGAACAUUCAGGAUGUCCAUAAGAGUGACGCAGUGGCUGUGGUGAGUCUCUUGGGGGAGGAUGUCCUCAUUUGCUCAUGUGCCUCAUGCGCCCUGAGUGGUGCAGUCUUUCUCCGCAGCUGUCCUGGCUCUGCAGGGUGAGGGAUGGGUCUAGGUAGGGUAGACGGUAGGCGUUUUAGCAAGGACUGCCUUUGUUCAGAGAUCGUGGUUAUACGAGGUUACACAACUGUCCUGUGCUGAUAUCCCUUCUUUGCUCUGCCUUCAGACAUUUGCUGACCAGACAUUUGGCAUGUUCAGUUGGACCAUCCCCAUUGCCGUUGCUCUGUCCUGCUUUGGGGGCCUAAAUGCAUCCAUUUUUGCUUCAUCAAGGUACUCUGGUUUCUAAUAGACUGUCGUUAGCACCCACAGGGCCGCCCACAACCAUCUGUAACUAGUUGCAGGGUACCUGUGCAAGAAUAUUUAGUGCAUCCUCUUAACAAUGGCAUUUAAAAGAAGGGCUGUGCAAUCCCAGCUGAAACAGGAGGAUCCCAGGUUUGAGUUCAGCCGGACCUACAUAGGAGACCUUGUUUCUUAAAAAAAAAAAAAAAAA